rnacentral:rRNA from 1 species
CCCUUAGAUGUUCUGGGCCGCACGCGCGCUACACUGAAGCGUUCAACGAGUAUUCACCUUGCCCGGGAGGGUUGGGUAAUCUUUUGAAAACGCUUCGUGAUGGGGAUAGAUUAUUGCAAUUAUUAAUCUUCAACGAGGAAUUCCUAGUAGGCGCGAGUCAUCAGCUCGUGCUGAUUACGUCCCUGCCCUUUGUACACACCGCCCGUCGCUGCAACUGAUUGGGUGACCUGGUGAACAUCUUGGACCGGUCCACUCAAUUUCGAGAGGACUGGAAAAGGCCGUAAAUCAGGUACAUCUAGAAAUUGCAAAAGUCGUAACA